rnacentral:rRNA from 1 species
UACGGAGGGUGCGAGCGUUGUCCGGAAUCACUGGGCGUAAAGGGCGCGUAGGCGGCCUGAUAAGUAGGGGGUGAAAUCCUGCGGCUUAACCGCAGGGCUGCCUUCUAGACUGUCAGGCUAGAGCACAGUAGAGGCAGGUGGAAUUCCCGGUGUAGCGGUGGAAUGCGUAGAGAUCGGGAAGAACAUCAGUGGCGAAGGCGGCCUGCUGGGCUGAUACUGACGCUGAGGCGCGAAAGCCAGGGGAGCGAACGGG